GUGUCAGCAGCCGCGCGGUAAUACCCGCAGCUCGAGUGGUGGUCGCUUUUAUUGAGCCUAAAACGUUCGUAGUCGGCCUUGUAAAUCCCUGGGUAAAUCGGACCGCUUAACGGUUCGAAUUCCGGGGAGACUGCAAGGCUAGGGACCGGGCGAGGUCAGAGGUACUUUCGGGGUAGGAGUGAAAUCCUGUAAUCCCGAAGGGACCACCUGUGGCGAAAGCGUCUGACUUGAACGGCUCCGACGAUGAGGAACGAAGGCUAGGGGAGCAAACCGGAUUAGAUACCCGGGUAGUCCUAGCUGUAAACUCUGCCCGCUUGGUGUGGCCUGUCCUUCGGGGGCAGGCUGUGCCGGAGCGAAGGUGUUAAGCGGGCUGCUUGGGGAGUACGGCCGCAAGGUUGAAACUUAAAGGAAUUGGCGGGGGAGCACCGCAACGGGAGGGUGCGUGCGGUUUAAUUGGAUUCAACGCCGGAAAACUCACCUGAGGAGACCAGCGUAUGUGGGUCAAGCCGAAGACUUUACCCGAACAACAGCUGGAGAGGUGGUGCAUGGCCAUCGUCAGCUCGUACCGUAGGGCAUUCACUUAAGUGUGAUAACGAGCGAGACCCCCAUCCCUAGUUACUAACCCCUCCGAAAGGAGAGGUGCACUCUAGGGAGA
rnacentral:rRNA from 1 species